rnacentral:rRNA from 1 species
AUGUGCAUGGAAGGCGCCGUUCGAUGCUUCAACGAGAAGGACCGUGUCAUGAGUUGGAACCAGCCAGUGUGGAGGCUGCUGGUCUCUCUUCAAGUUUGGAUUGAUUCGCACGCGCGACGUGAGGAGCAGGAGCGGCCUAUGAUGAACGACGGCCGCGUCCACCAGCUCCGACGUCUCCGGCGAGUACGCUUACUCCUCCUCCGACCCCUCCCCCAGCCCGCUCUGCAGUCCACUUCGAGAAGCCCGUCCCGCCGCCACCCCAACACCAGCAGAAGCUGCCGGCGCCGCAGCCCGGCACGUACGUGGUGCAGGUGCCCAAAGACAAGGUCUUCCGCGUGCCGCCGCCGGAGAACGCGCGCCUCUUCCAGCACUACACCCGCCGCGCCGACUGCUCCUGCCUCCGCGCCUCUACCUCGCCGUCGCGGUCCUCUCCCUCGCCGUCGGGGUCGUCUACCUCGCCUUCAAGCCCAGGCAGCCGGCGUACUCGGUCGUGUCCUUCGCAGUGUCGGGCCUCGCCGGCGUCAGCAGCGCCUCGGCCCCCGGCCCGCUCUCGCCGGGGUUCGCCGCGACCGUCCGCGCCGACAACAGCGCCAACGGCAAGGUCGGCGUGCACUACGACGGCGCCGGGAGCCGCGUCGCCGUGUCGUGCGAGGGCGUGAGCCUGGCGGACGGCGCGUGGCCGGCCUUCUACCAGGCGCCGUGCAACAUCACGGCGUUCGUGGCGAAGGCGAAGGGCACCGGGAUACGGUUCUCGGAGCGCGAGCACGGGCAGAUGGCCGCGGCAGAGCGGCUCCGAUCGGUGCCGUUCGACGUGGACAUCACGGUGCCCGUGCGGCUGCAGCUCGGCGGCGUGAGGACGUGGGCCGUGCCGGUGACGGUUCGGUGCGCCAUGACGGUGGACAGGCUCGCCGCCAGCGCCAAGGUGGUGUCCAGGCCGUGCGACGUCAAUGUGCCGUUCUCAUUCCGUUCUGGAGGAACUGA